AAGAGAGUACAAAGUGAGUUAGCAUUUCUCUUCACAGUACUGUUCUUUUAAUCAAAAAAGUACUUUUCACACAAAGCAACUUUAAGCUAAGAAGCAUUAAAAUGACUGUCUCCUUUACUCUUCAGACUAGGAUUUGGUUCAGAUUUGAGAUAUGGACUCAUAAUUCUUGUCCCUGGCAAUGGAAUGUACUUCUGGAAAUAUUCCUUCCUGAUCUGUUCAUAGAGUAUAGUGAAUUAUGCAGCUACUGACAAUUUUGUACUUAUCAGGUUCCUAAUAAAUGUCAGGUUUGAUUCUGGGCUCACUGAGACUAGCUGACUGAAAUUCACCUGAACUAGGUCAAUGAAACAGUGAUUUAUCUGAGAGCUUUUUCUAUAUACUCUUUUAAAAUUAAAGAUCAAAACUGGAAAAUUAAAAUUAGGAUGAAUAUAAACUGGCACUGAAAUAAACAUGAAAAGUUUCAUAAACACAGGAAGUCACAAUGUAGAUUAUGAAGAGCUUGAGAAAAAAGAAAGUUUAAUAAAGACAAAAAAUGGAAGGUUUAAGAAAAGUCCUUAGAAGUCAUUCUGAUAAUUUCUUGCAUAGGAUGAAAGUUUAUAGUAUUUACAAGUAAGAAAAGUAUUGCUCCUAGGUGUCUGCAAAUAGAAAGAUGCUUUGAUGGUUAGGCAGAAACAUGAUUGGUUUAAAGGAUUAUUUAUAACAGUAUUUCCUCUUACACAUUUUACCUAUAACACAGCAAAGAAGAAAAACAUUGUUUCACAGUUGCAUAGAAUGAAGCAGACAUAAACACACCAGAUGUUGUUUAGUAAUUUUCCUAAGCAUCUUUUUUUCCUAUGUUUCUAAAGCACUUCAACUAUGUUUAAAUUUUACAGACUCAAAAGACAAGGAUCCAAAGCCCAGUGAUGUCAAGAGAAUUGUAUUACUUAAUUUAGUUUUUCGUCAAGCCCUACUGGUGAAUUCUGGGAUGGUUUUUUUUUGUUGUUGUUGUUGUUUGUUUUUUAAUUUGUUUGGUUGUUGGGGUUUUUUUAGUGAGGUUUUCCUGUUAAGGAAUUAAUUCUAGGCAACUGAAAUCAGUUGGAGUUCUUAUAUCUGUGGCAUCAGAGCCAUACAAAAUUGCAGAUUUUUACAGGGAGAUAAAAACAUAUGACAUCUGAAGUUUAGCAAAUUUAGAAUCAUCUCAUGUUCUCAAAAAACUCCUUGACAUUUUCAUAUAAUGAAAAUUAUGAAAGAUUCCAGAAUGUUUAGCUCAUUUGCAUUCAGUAUAAAAUAUUUUGAUAAUAAUUAUGAAUUUGGUAUACCAAGUAAGUAAAUGGCAUGGUUAUUAUAGGUUAUUGGGGAUGAGCAGGAAUCCUUAUGGCUUGACAUCUUUAAUAGAACUGCAUUACUUACCAGUAACUGAAUUUCCUUUUUUUGGGGGGAGGCAUUACCUCUUCCACAGAUUCAUGGUCUUUAGUGAAAUUUAUGAGAACACCAUGUCAGACACCAAAGAGCUGCUGAAGUUGUCAAAUUUCAGGUAAGUACAAAUUGUACUAGCGCAUGCAUUGAAUGCCAUUUUACCUCUGGCAGAUGUGUGAGUCACUACUAUACCCUCCUACUUCAUUCCAAACUGACUGGAAAAAUCUGUCUUUCAAUAGGAAACCUGGGGAGAGAGGGAGAUGGAAUGGUUCUACAGAGAAAACUGUUGUGUAGGAGAACUCAAGUUACUGGUUACUUUGCAAUUCGGUAUAUUUAGGUCUUGAGCAUGCCACGCAUCUCUAGCUGUGAUGUAAAUGAAACAAAAUGACAAGCAUGAAAAUUAGCAAAGGUAAGUCUUAGGAGGAAGCAUUACUGAAAUAUUGCUGUCAGACCAUAAUAAUGGUGCCAUAAAUCUCCCUUUCAUUUCUUGUGUAUUUACAUAGCUUCUGCAGAUGGUCAGCAGUGCACAUCAGACCCCAACAUUCAUUCCAGUUGCUAAGAGUUUGGUGAGAAUAAGAAAGGCUCAGCAGUUGUAUGAUUUAACAUCAGGAUGUCACAUUUUAUGAAGGUGCUGAAGGAAAGACAAUCUCGACAGACUGAAGUUUGCUAUGAAAUGAAAUGAGGCAGCAAUCUCUAAAGAUAUGCAAAAUGAAACUGAAUCACUGAUUCUGGAUCAGAUGGACCGAAUCGGGUCUUCAAAUUACAAUCAUGCAACUUAAAUCAACAAACAAAGAUGAUAAAUUCAGGUAAGAAUCACAUGUCAAGCUCAACUCGGUGUCUUGCUGUUGAUGAACUACAUGUAAAAUAUGUAAGCAAAGUAUAAGAGAAAGGCAGAGUUUGGUGAGUGUGUGGAAACAAGUGUUAAAACAGACACAAAAAAAAAAAAAGUUACAAGCCAAGUUCCUUACCUGGACAGAAUUUGGCAGAACUCUACUGAAAAAUCUGUGUGAUAAUAUUUUACAAAAAAAUUAAGUCAUGUAUCCUUUAAAUUCAAAUAUCACUGGUUUGUUAAAAACUGCUGCACAGUCUCUCACUUGAAACACAUGACAAAACUUUUAUCCAUACAAUGUUUUUGUUAAGUAAACAGAUCACCAGCUUCUGCUGUACAGACAGCAAAAGUAAAGCAGGAAGAUUCAGAAAUAAAUCUCACUCCAAGAAAUGUCUGGCCUUAUGGUAUACUCAAAAAGUUAGGUAUAAAUGAACCUCAGAAGAUGGCAGGCUGUAAGAGCCAGCCUUUGACAGGACUACAUAUGCUGGCAGACUUGUAAAGGAGACGCCAUAACCGAGCUUGUUGCUCUCCCUCUUUCCCAUGCUGGAGCUCACCCUGCAUGGCUGCUUCUCUGCCUCAGGCAGCUGAGUGAAGAACAGACCUGGGUGAGCGCUAUAAUUAGGAUCUCCUGGUGCUGCCUUCUUUGCCCAAGAGGAUUAACUCAGCUCAUUAGUGCAGGGCCACAAAGAAUCCUGUGCCAGAUGUUGGAGGAAAACCCUGAAGGUUCUGCCUACCCACUGCCAGCACUGCUGUGACACUCCACUGCAUCCCCAAGCAGAAAGUGUAGUCCUGACUCAGAAUGCUUCGUGUGCGUUUCACCAACGCGCUUCUCACUCGUCCUUUGUCGCUAAGGAACAGAUUUUGCACACAAGAAUACUCAUCAAACUCCAAAUCAUUUACAGUCAAAACAAGCCCACAGCAUGUUGCUGCAUCUUGUUCUCAAUCCAACUAUUACCUUGCAGUUCAGCAGCUCUAUGAACUCCCACACUUAACGUGCUUCCAAGCCUCCCAGAAGCUGUGUUGAAUUUUUUUCCUGACCUUUUUAAAUAAGCAUUUGCUAUUCCUAAGAGAACAGUGAUUGAACAGUUUAAUGACAGCAUUCACAUUUCUGCUUAAAAAUGCUUCUCUGCAGCUCACAAAGGGCAAAGCUGCUAUAUAGCUUUUUUUAAGUACAUGUAAUACAGUCAAAAGAUGCCUAAGAAACCAGACAGAAUCUUCUCCUUGUAAAAUAUACAGCAAGAUUUAUUACGGAAUGAGUUAUUACUUCACAAUAUUCUCUAGCCCAAUUCAACACAACUGUCUCUAAGAAUUAGAACAGUCCCUUUUUCUAUCCUGAGUUGCUCAAAGGGGUUUUAUGCAAAAAAAAGGUUUUAAGUGGAUUAUCAAAUUACUGUAACGGUUGACAUUCUCUCUAUGAACAGUCUUGUCAAAUCUGUCUGUUGCUCAACCAUGCCUAAAGUCAACAACCAAACUUUUUUUCAUGUACAGGAUUGUUAAGUCUUUACAGUGCAGCACUUAGAGUGGUUUCAGUUUGCUUUUCCCAAGCUGUUUGCAUCACUUUCCCUUGAGUUUUUUUCCCUGAUUCGCCAAGCCCUAAAACAAAUCAUUAAGUCACAAAAUGUUAACAAGAAAAAGAAUCUAAGUCAGGAAAAAAGGCUGUGCCAUAAUAGAAAGGGAUAUCAGAAAAUAUUUAGGCUUAAAAAAUACACCCAUUUCUCAGAUGAUCAGCUAGAAAAUAAUUUGAUGGCAUUUCUUAAAAAUAAGCUUUUGAACUUUAAGUAUCAGAUUUAUACUUUGAAAUGUUCUAGUUUUGUCUUGCAACUGGAUACCUGAAUUAUCCUUUCUCCAAUUCAUGUUCUACACAUGUUUGUUGGUUUAAAUAGUUGCAUUGGUAUAAAUGGUGCAAGUCAGGCAGGGAAAGGAUCAUCUGCAUGAUCAAGGUCCCUGAUUUGCAUAAACCAAAUUGCCAAGACAGCAAAUGUGGAUGACACAGGAAACAUAUCAAAUUUAUUUUAAAAUUGUUUUUACUUGUGUAAUGAUCAAAUAAUUUAAGUGACAUAAUGCCAUUUUACUUUAAUUACUUCAUCGUUAUUGCUUUUGGCUACAAUACUGCAUUUUUUGAACAAAAUAUUACUUUGACUGGACAGUGCUUUACAGAUAACUCUUUCUUGCUUUUCUUAAUUAAAAAAAGACAAACUAAUCUGCAGUAGCCCAAGUUGGGGGGUGGGAGGGACCAUUCUUUCUACGUGUUCUAUUUCUAUUUUCCCCUGUUUUCUAAUUAGGUCCUCUCUGCAUGACUUUUGUGGUGAGGCACUCAUUUGCUCCUGCUGCUUAGUCUUUCACCUGAAACCACAAUGGUCUGUGAUAGCAAACUGGCUGCUGCAAGGAAAUUAUGAUGUGACAGAGUAAUACGAACAUGUGUAAGGAAAAAACUGCAGGGGUAGAACUCCAAAGGAAAAAAAUCCUGGUCACAUGUGAAAAAAAAAAAAGAAAGAAAACAUUCAAAAAGCAAUGGCAAACCCUGAGCUAGUGUAAAGGACAUUAUCUAUGUAGACACUAGAAAAAUACUGCCACUUAUAUAAACUGGUACUUUAGAUUUUCUGAACACUGUCUGAACACUGUAAGAUUAAAACUUUCCAUGCAAUGCUGUCAUUCAGUUUUAACACUUGACUCUACUUUUUAUCCUCAGUCUGGUUUGUGUAUGCUUUUUGGUAACUGCCCGUCGGGUCUCUGACUGCAUGACUACAGACCAUAACCCUGUCACACAGCACACAGUAGCAGUUCAGAAAUUUUAUUUUUCAAGGAAAGUAAGCUUCAUGUGAUUAUACUGCACUACCAUUGCUUGCUGCUUUUUCCAUGUCUUCUGUGCAAUUGUCUAAAAGGGACAUUACAUAGCAAUACUGUAUUUUGAGAUUCGUGUUUUAAUAAUUUGAAAGAUAUUUUUUGGGAUUGCUCUGUAUUGUAAUGAAACUUUCCUUUAUGACUUCCUUUAGGAAUUAAAAUGCUGAUUACCAGAAGUACAGUUUUGUUUUAUUUGCUUACUGGUUAAAAUUAAUCAACGUAAUCUUAAAAGUUUUGCUUUAUAAAGAAAAACACAAUCUUGAAUUAAUUAUGCUUGCUUCAGAUAACAGAAUCGUCCUGUAGUCAGUUCAUCUUAAAAUGCUGGCAGGUAUCCUUAGCCCUAGGGGUAAGCAAUGAGGGUACUGUUGGUAAGUUAUUCUUUUGGAAUAAUUGCUAAAAUAAUAAACAUGUAAACAGUAAACUAGGAGAACAUUCUCUUUUAACACAGCCACUUCAAGGACUGAAAACAGGCAGAGUUGUUAUUUUUGGAUAAAACUGUUGCCAGCAUUUUUUUUGGCUGAUGACAACUGAUGCAGCAGUGUAUUGGCCCUCUUAUGCAACUAGUUUGUACUAACAAACAAAUACAAUUUUUAAAUGUAUCCAAACAGAGAUCUAGGGAUAUUUUUGGUAGACUCUUCAUAAUAUGUUCAAUGUGUGGACCACAGGAUAUCAAUGCUAUCAAGCCCUAAUCUCUUUCACGAUUUCUUUUGUCUACAGAGUCAGGAGCUUGGCAGAACAUUUGAAGGGAAAGGAAAGUGUGCAGGUAUUGAAAUCUCCCUAACACUAUGCUGAUGUACCAGUCAAAUACAAGCUGGAUUCAAGACCAGAAUUUAAUUUCAAUAAUAUUUGCUUAUUAGUCAUAUUCCUCUUAUGUCAUAUUAAUACAAGAAAAAUAAUGUGUUUCUGAUUCAGACAAAAGAACAGUGAUGAAUGUACGGCUCAAGACUUCAAUACUUCCAGUCAAAAGCUACUACUGGAUCUGAUAUUCUAAUAUAGCAGCAGAAAUGUUUUUACCAGCAACAAGACAUACAACAAUACUAGACUCAGUAUUGGCAAGUAAUUUGUUCUGGGUUCCAAGAAUACUUCAGUGUGUAAUUAAAAUGUAGUAAUUACUGCUACUGAAUUGUUUUAAAUUAAAGAAGCCAACUUAGAGAAGAGAAUGUUCUAUGUAGAUAUACUAAAGUCAGGUAAAGGUCCUCAAAGCUAAAUGUAACUUUGCCUUCCUUUUCAUAUACAAUAUGCUUAUAGCAGACUCUUCAGUUGAUUUUAUAACCCUAUGAAACUCCUUCGUAAUUCCAUUGCAGUCAAACAAAUUACUCUAGGUUUAUGAGAGUGUAAGUCAGAGCUGAAGCCAGCUUAGUAUUUCAUACAGCACAAAAUAAAUCAUGGAACCCAAUUACACGGUAAAACAGCAGGCAGUUUUUCUACACUGGAAAACAGGCAUUUAUAGAAUCUCUUGAUAUUAACAGAAUAGACCCGCACACCACAAUUAAUUUAGAAUUCCUACUCCCAGGCCUGCAGUGCAAUGUUAUCUCUCAGCUUCAAACUCUCCAAGAGGAAGGGUGUGAAGUGAGCAUGGCAUGGUCACAGUCUGGUGCAGAAGAGGGGUGUGCCACUGGCUGCUACUGAAAGGAGCCCAAAUGAGCUGUGCGUCUCCACCAAAGCUGCCAGAGGAGCAGUCCCAGAAAGUGUGAAACCCAUGGGUAUCUGGAAUGGGUUGGGAAAAGCCCAAGAAGGAAAAAGUAAAACAAAAUCAAAAGAAUCCACCAUAAAACAUAUUUGUGGAUUCUACCAGGGUACUUUUCUUUCGCUGCUAGAAAAGAAAGACAAUUAUUUGAAGAAUUGAAAAAGCAAUAAGUGGACCUGGGAUCUACAAACAGCUGAGGCGAGUCCUGGGUUUGGGGUCAGUGCUAUUUGUCCAAAGUCAUGAAGCCUAGGAGGAGCCUAGCCUGAGGGCUCAUGGGUUUUGCAUCACCUCUCAAAUGUCUUUUUACUAAUGAUCUAGAAAGAUUUCCUCAUUAUUCUGAUAACAUUUAGGCCAGCUGUAAAAUAAGAAGUUAGAAUAAUAUAGUUUAAGAGCUUUCUAAGAACAUUCAUGAUUAAUUGCUAGUAAGAACUCAGUAUUACUGAGGAAGUAUAUGUUGGCAUACGUACACUCUAGUUUCUAGCUGAUGCAAUACUUGUCUGCAGAGCCUUGGAGAAAAACCUGCACCAUCAAGGAUCUCUAAAGUAAAAAUGCUAUGGUUUUCUAAGACUGUGGCCUGCCCCAGGGAGGACAGAUCUAAAGGUAAAGCACUACUACUGCACAGUCAAAACCUUAAAUUUGAAUUCUCUGCAUGCAAAACGCUCAGUUUUCAAGCAACAAUUUAAGGACUCUGGUCUUGAUUUCUUGGUAUUUCUUGGGAAACAGUUUAGUAGGUGGCAUAUGCAUUUGGUAGGAUCGAGUACAAUGAUAAGUGAAAAAUCGUGCUAAGAUGCUGCCUAGCUGCAUGAAUCAGGGUGACCUUCAUAAAAAUGAUUAGCCAGAAGUGUACCAUUAUCUACAUCAGUUGUGUUCUAGGAUUCUGCUGGUUUUCCAUAUGGUGAUGAAAAAGGUUAUGCCAUUUUUUGAAGAAAACAGAAUUUGACUUCUUUCCAGUACGUUUUAUUUUAAAGUGUCUGAUUUUUCCCUGUAGAUCUGAAAUUAAUUGUUUCUCCUGAGAGAAUAUAACUGUACAAUUGAGCUAUUUCUUAUUUUUGUACUUAGCCUUUCAUAGCAGAUCCCCGCAAGAGAUCUGUACAUUCUUAUAAGAUAGGCAGCUGAGGUUAUGGAAUUUAUAGCAUGUAUAAGAUCUUUCAACAAGAAGUGAUAACAUGUUCAUGUUCUGGAGUUGAGGCUGAGAUGAAAAGGGAUCUGGUUUUAUGUGAAAGGCCACACAGCUGAAAUUCAGCUAGGAGGCUUGCCAUCAAUACAAGUAAGACUGCAUAGAUAACAAAGAAAUAUACAGCUUGGGAAAUGAGAAAAGGACCCAAUAAAUCUCCUGCUGAGAAAGGUAGAUAAGCAGCUGUCAGAGGAGAUAUAGAAUGAGCUGGCAUUUUUAGCUUCUUUCCAGCUCUAGAAGAUGCUUACAUACCAAGUAUGGUUGCUAAGAACAUGUAUCCAGGCUGGUGGUUUCAUGAAGAAACAAGGCUGUGGUACAAAAAGAAGUAAGUUCUGGAUUACACAAGGUCUCUAAACACUGCCAUUAAUAUGUAUAUUAUGGAAGGGCAGAAUGGGAAAUUUUUCAUUUCCACUACAAGAUAUAUGGAGAGCUUAAUUCCCUUUGCUAGCUUUCAGAAUACGUGAAUGCUCUAAACAGCAAGAUGGAAAUAUUUUCUAAUGGGUAAGAGCCUAAUCUAAUCGCACCUGAAGUAAAUCAUAAUGCCUCCCUCUAGUUUGUAUGGCUUCUGAAUCAGGCUCUAAAUAUCCCAGCCUUUCACUUCCUCUUAGAUUAUCACUUUUAUAGCAUAAGAAUGGCAGCCUCUAUCAUGUGCACAGUGCUAUAUAAAAACACAGGAAAGUAGUUUGUCAAUCACUUCAGAACAGAAGUAUUUACCUUUGCAAAGAUCACUAAGAUUAAGAUAGCAUGUGCAUUACAAACUUCAUGAUAAAAAAAAUUGUGAGGCUAUUAUUUGCUAAGAAAACACUAUUAAUUUAAUAUAGCAUCAAUGUCCAUUAAAAUUCUUGAUAAAAUUUAUUUGAUUGGCCUGAUCUUUCAUCUAGAGAAACUGCACUGGUGUGGGGGGUAUCAGAGUAGGAGAGAGACCUGGCUACAGACAGGUUUUGUCUUUCUCCCACCUUGUCUUGUUUGUCUUGCAAGAAAGUAGGCCUAAGUUGAAAACUGUAGUCUCAGUUUGCCUGUCCCCCAUGCACUUGAUCAGCCACAUGAGACCAGUCACCAGACUCUUCCCAGCCUACUGUGAAAAAAGCCACCAGAGAGAGCCGAAGGGUGUACUAAUCACCAGGGUGUUCAUUAUGUGAUCACAAGGUGCAAUUUGGAUAAUGCUUUGCUUUAACUUAAUACCCCAAUGGCCAGAGCUGAUAGUAGCAAAUAAUUCUUAGGCUUUAUCUACAGCAGAAUUAGCCAUUCUGCACUGACUUAAGACAUUGCUUUUUGCAGCAAGAACCAUAUUGAACAUAACCUUUUCCAAAAAAUGGAGAUGAGAUCUUUACGUUGCAUGUGGAGCCAAGGUACAGGGAGAACUUAGAAGAGUUUGGGAGGUAUCCCUUAUUUGUAACAUCUGUACCUCUGUAAUAUCCCUUAAAGGGCAAACUUCCUAAAGAAACAGCACUGGGAGGAAUGACAGGAGGGGAUGGACAGACAGACACUAGAAAGGUACCUAUAGUUUGACUCACGGAUAAAGAGUGGUGAAGCAGCUAAGAUAGCUGUUAUGCUCUGACGGGACAAUUCCUAAGAAUUGAGCAUUGAUUAUAAGCAAAACCAUGUAACUGGUGGUUAAAAGGAAAGAAUGGGCUAGGAGCUUUGCACCUAAUAAUAUAGGUCUGAUAAAAUUCUGAUAAAAAAUGAAUGAGGCCAAGGAUUCUGUUGUCUGGGAAUUUGGAAGUACAAGCAGCUAUACUUGGCACAGGCUGUAGAUACAAUAUGGGAGAAAGCAGGAGGGAGGAGAGAUCAUGUCUCCAUUUCUUUACUUUGCACUUUCUGCUUUGAUGAAAAUUUGAGGGCUGAGGUGUAUGUGACAUUUGCUAGAUAAAGUCUGUAGAACAAUUACAGGCUGUACAGGAACAUGCAGUAAUGUAUCUGUUCUUAAACUGUAGGGCUGCACUGAACUGCAAUUCAUUACUGCUGAUUUAAAAUCUUUUUAUCUGCCUCAAUUGUUUCUUGCAUCUCUGCAUAUAAGAGGAAGGCUGGGAGACCAGAACUUCAUCAGUGCUACCAAACCUUCCUUCUACUCUGCUUUGCAAUAAUAUUUGCCUGUAUUCUUGAUGUUCAGAGAGUCACAUAACACAGAUUUCUUCAAAAUAAAUACUUUAAAAAUGAUGCUCUCAAGGCUGCUUGGUAAAAGUUUGACCUAUUUUUCCUCUUUAACUGUUUAUGUAAUGCAUUUAAUUCUCUGUAUUUUCUCCCAUAUUCAAAUAGGUAUAAUUAAGUAGGGUUUUGAGGGCUAACACAUGUGAGCACCCAAACAAUAACAGGUCUACACCAAACAUAAUAGACAAGAAAAUCUAUCAGUAAGUCAACAGGUUUUCCUAUCAUGCUUUCUAUGAGGAAAUGAAUCUGUUCGGGGAGGUGCAAUCUGUUCAGGUGUAAUUCGCCUUUAACUCAUGGAAGGUAUUAAAUCUCUUUCAGCAUUGGGACUUAGUCAUGAAUUACCUUUCCAUAGUAGCUGUGUUCCAGGAGUAGCCACUCCUGAACUUACAAAAUAGUCUUGCCUUCAUGCAGCUACUCUGGGAUCUGUGAACACUGAGGAAUCACUGCCAUCUUCCUUUGGAAAAACAAUUCAGGCAAUCCUUGUCCUCUUCAAGGACAGUUUUAAGGGGCUUUCCCUGCAGAAGCAGCUGUUUGUCCCACAACUUUCAUCCCGCACCACACCAACUUCUCUCAGAAAUAGAGACCUGAUUCACUCACUUUGGCACAAGCUGUCACUAAACAAAGUGAUGUAUGCCUGCUGGGAUGAAAUACAGGACAACUGGGCUUUCAAUAUAAAGAGAUAUUGCUAUGAGCCAUCCAAUAUAGGCUUUAUUGCAUAGGCAAAGCCUAACAUUGAUUUAGGACUUGAAGAUAUUCCUCAUUGUUGCAUGUUAUAGUUAUGUGGCCAGUAGAAGUGCAAAAUAAAGCUCAUGUAAUUGCAAAAAUUUAGUUACUGAUUAUUUCAAGUUCUUAUACAAAUCACUAUUACCAGAAGGAUAACAGAUGCUUUUGUCUCAAUUAAAAAAAAAAAGUACUAUUGAUAUGUAACAUUUUUAAUUAGAACUACCAGUUUCCACAUCUUGUCUUUGUUAUACUUUAUAUCUCCUUGUUAGGGAAAACCAAUAGUAAAAAACUGAAAUAUAUUAGAUUUUCUAGUAAUAAGCAUAGUGAAAGUAUUUGUCCUAAAGAAGAAUUUAAUACAGAGUGCAUAACUAUUUAAUAAUUAAACAUUAAGUUAACAGAAAAUGUCAGAUAGGAUGGAUGUGAUAACUAAGCACUGCAAAUAGUCUCUUUCACUCAAAUCCAAUAUGCUAACCUUGAUUUUUGUCACAUUUUGUUACAGUUUACUCAUUAAUUUUAUUCACAUACACGAAGAAGGUAGUGACUGUCCUCCCACAGGAGCACGACAACACAUGGCACACAGAACACAUCACUGCCUACUGUAGAUUUUAUCAGUGCUAGCUUUGCUCCACAGAAGGACAACACAAGGUGAGUAAUACAGUUUUCUGUACAGGAUAAAUUCUGCAAUGUAAAAGCCAGUAGCAGUCCACAAAACCUCACACUACUAAGCCAUUUCUAUGUGCCCUUAUUGUAUUUCAUGAAAAAAUGUGGGAUAAACACGAACAGUUACAUAUAUUUUACUUAUAUGAAAUAAACCAGUGCCCCUGAGAGUGACCUUGAUCUCAUACAUAAUCCUGAAACAGAAUAUAGUAAAUAAAUGAUGUUAUAGGAACAGCUUAACAGCUUCUUUGUGAAGUUUCCAUUGGGAAGCAGCUGUUCAGUUGAUCGGUCACCUUAAAGAAAACCCUAAAUGAAAGAAUUAUACAUUAAGAUCCUCAAGCAGUAGUUGUCUGUAACUGGAAAUGCCAAUAUAUGAUUAACUUCCCUGAGGUCAAAGGCAAGGUAAUUUAAAACAACAUAAAACGUAAAUUUUUGAACUCAGAUGAAAAAACGUAGCAAGGAAAAAGGUUACAGUCAGUAUUCAUACAGCAGAACUUUUGGUAAACAUAGUAUGCAGAAAAAUUCUCAUCAUAUAAAAUAAGUCACUAACUCACUAAAUAAUUUUACAAUUUCAUCUCACUUCCCGUCUGCAGACAUCCAUAAUUCCUUCAUGUGCAACACAUUCCUGGUGUCUCUGCUUCUGCACUAUAUUUAUUGUGCACUGGCUUUUUUCAAAAUUUUGAAGUAAGGGAUAAUGAGGUUGCAUUUUCAAAACACCGCAGCUGCUGGUUUGGUUUUGCAGAUGACACACCCAUGCAUGUAAUCAGCACAAGCAGUCACAAUUGCAUUUCAAAACUCAAUUGCUUCUCAUUGUAAAAAUGUAUUGUGCCCAUAAAAAGCUAAAAAGCCUCACCAACGUGUCCCCCCCCGCCACCCUUGACUACCAAAAAAUACAAAUAUGUAAUCCUAGAGCAACUGAUUUGCCACAUAGAAUUUUGAGAAUCAGCAACAUAACUCAGGCAUCAUUUCAGCCACAUAUGCAGCUCUGCACAGAUUUGAGUCUGAUUAGAAUAUGAGUGUUCCAUUCUGACUCUGUUCCAUUCCAACACAUUCUGUCUGAGGAAAAAUUAACUGUUCAGUGCCUCUGCAUAUGUAGCAUCUGCUCCUUAAAAACCUAGUUCAUUAUGUUUGAAAAAAAAAACCCAAAAACUAAACCCAGGAUCAGAAAACCUUUCUGAUUUUAUAUCCAAUUGUAUUACAAUAUUGAAAACGUGUUUUAAUCUUUCUUUUUCACAAAAGCAUUAUGCAAGUGUGAUGCUCAAUUUUCUCAUCCAAUCAGAAGAAACAUGGGGUAAAUAAAAACCAAGAAAAGAGGAAGAUGACCCCGCAUCACACAAUAUACAGAACACCAAAACACUCCCCGCCCUUCCACGAGAGCAAGUACAAAAUACAGCAGAUUUCAAC